rnacentral:rRNA from 1 species
UGGGGAAUAUUGCACAAUGGGCGCAAGCCUGAUGCAGCCAUGCCGCGUGUGUGAAGAAGGCCUUCGGGUUGUAAAGCACUUUCAGCGAGGAGGAAGGUGGUGAGCUUAAUACGCUCAUCAAUUGACGUUACUCGCAGAAGAAGCACCGGCUAACUCCGUGCCAGCAGCCGCGGUAAUACGGAGGGUGCAAGCGUUAAUCGGAAUUACUGGGCGUAAAGCGCACGCAGGCGGUUUGUUAAGUCAGAUGUGAAAUCCCCGGGCUCAACCUGGGAACUGCAUUUGAAACUGGCAAGCUAGAGUCUCGUAGAGGGGGGUAGAAUUCCAGGUGUAGCGGUGAAAUGCGUAGAGAUCUGGAGGAAUACCGGUGGCGAAGGCGGCCCCCCUGGACGAGGACUGACGCUCAGGUGCGAAAGCGUGGGGCAGCAAACAGGAUUAGAUACCCUGGUAGUCCACGCUGUAAACGAUGUCGAUUUGGAGGUUGUGCCCUUGAGGCGUGGNUUCCGGAGCUAACGCGUUAAAUCGACCGCCU